rnacentral:lncRNA from 1 species
CGACUCUGACUGGCGGUGGUCUACCCAAUCCGUAGCUUUUGUACCCUCGGCCUCGCGGAUGCUCCCCGUUCCCUGCCUCGACGCUUCCUGAUUAUCGGGUCGAGAUAACCAGCUUGUCCUCGUAAUCGAUUUCGGGAAAAGGGGGAUAAGAGCUCCUCGACGAGGGGGAAGUCGAGGACUACCCGGAGAAGAGGGGCUCGGGCGAUUUCCCGAUUUUCCGAUUUCGAGUCGCCGAUACGGAAAAUUGACCGCAAUGGAUUAUGCAUCGGUGACCCCCGGGGCUCGAGGGCCCUCCGGUUGAAAGAUUGACGCGAAACCCAUUAAUUCCCGCGGAGAGGCCCUCCAUCAAAAUUUCUCAUCCCGGCCAGGCAUUGAGGGAAUCGAGCUUCCCGCGGGAAUCGCCUUCUAGGCCUACCAGGAAAGUAUUUUGGCUCCCUACGAAUGUAUAACUCGAAACCGUCAGACCGGUCGAUUAAAAUCCCACCCUUUUAUCAAAGGGUACUCCAGCGAAUUGACGGAAAUUUUAGGACACGACUGGUGACCCAUUGAACUUGUCAAAAGUGUCGGGAGAUUUUUUAAGAGCCCCCGAAUACUCUAAAAAAAAAUUACUUGUCUUGCUCCAAUUGAUAGGUAUCGAUGGUUUCGGGUCGCUUCAAGGAGUCCCAAUUGUCAGGAAAUUUCUAAACCCAAGGACAAUGGUCACCGAGCAGUCGUACCCCGGAUUACCCUUCGAUCUUCGAUUCUCGAGGAGUUCCACCCCAUUGGGACUCGACCGGGCGAGAAAUUGCGCGAUUCGGUACUCCCUAAAAUGCAGCCCGAGAAAAAGUGUCGAGGGCACGCGAGGAGUAGCCGAGGUCCUUAAGGGAGAGGACCCCCUCCCUCGGGGGAGGUCCCGGGGAGGCAGCAAUCUCCUGCUCUCCUUCGGGAGAAACGUUGAUCCCGGCUGCGUGACCAACAUUCCGAGAUUCCCGAGGGAGGGCUGGACUAAUCGUCGCGCCUUCCCACGGGAAUGCCAAGGAAUACCGCGAGCUCGAAUGUCAAGGAGGACUCACCGUCUCCGGGAGGAACUGGGACGCUUACGUGACCCUCUGGAGCGAAGGGACCCGGGAUCGCCCAUCAAGGAAUUAAUCCCCCUCGAGUCGGUACAGUUUUGGGAGAGAUUAGGGGAGAUCUCUCCCUCCACCCCCCGAUCGCAAGAGGAGCGAGUACGCUGCAGAUACUUAGAGUACUUACGGGUGUUACAGCGACUCGAAGGACGAUUGCAGGGCCUGCAUCGCAAAAUGCAGAUACCGACACCUUUUGAGACCACCCCGGAUUCUCCGAGGAAAUUUCCCUGGCAGGAGCUGCUUUCAAUCACCGGAGCCUCGGCUGAUCGACGUCGCGUACGCGACAAGGGUAUCGAAAUCACCGGGAAAUGCCGGAGAAAAAUAGGAGGACGGGAGAUAGAGAGAGCGCCGAAAAGCCGGCCGAAUGGAUGCGCUUUAAUAUUAUCUCCUGCAUGAAGAAUGGGGCGAGGAUGUACCCGGGGAAAUAUCGGGGAAGGCCAUUUUCUCGGGCCCGAUUCUCCCUGACGAGGCCGAGUCGUCGAGGGGCUGCUCUCAAAUUACUAUUCCCGUUUUCUUUUCAUUUUCCUUUUCUUUUCACUUUUACUCCUAGGAGCCGCCGGGCGCUCUUCCUCCGAUCAGCUGAUCGCGCUUAGGGAGGGCUGGAAUCACGCGGAGGCGGUUUAGGGGGGCUGAUACGAUUGAUAAGAGCCGGCGAUUCCUUCUGGCGAUAAGUCGGGAUCUCGAGGGCAUAAUGAGAGGGCCCGGAGGUAAUAAGUGGAAAAUAAUGACGUUUGUCGAGGAGGAGAAGCGCUCGAUCGAUGGUCGAGUGGGAGCGCGCGGUAUGAAAGGCGAAUCCCACAAAGAGAGGGCCUUGAGGGAAAAGGCGGGGAAAAAAGGUGCCGAUAUCGAAAGGAGCAGCCAGACGCGAUAGACGCGUGGAAUAAACCGAUUCGUCGCGCGGCAGUCCAUAGAUUAGGUGUUCAGAAGCCAAUCAGGACUCGGGAUAAAAGGAGGACCCCGACCAUCUUAGACUUCCCUCUCCGCCUUUCGCGCGAUCCCUCCACGUGCAAAUAAGGAAAUCAUUUAUUCACGUUCGGAGAAGAAUCCAGCGGUAAUGAAUUUUUUUUCCUGUUUUUUUUUUUCGCCUCCUCGGUAUCAAUAAAUAUAAAUGAGAUGAUCGAUGCGGUCUUCCAUUUAUAUCGCGAGGAAAUCCAGGACGACGUUUUAUCCUUCGGGAGAAAAUGUCGGCGACGCGACGCUGGGUAAUCAAUCGACCGGCGGUCCUGGAUCCUGGGAUGAUAAGCCGAUAAAUAUUCAGAUAUAAAUUGAGGACCUCCUCGUUAGUAUGGAUGCGAAGGGGAACACUUGGCUCGACGCGCAAUUAAAAGCCUGUCGAGGAGGAGGUCCAAUUGGCCGGUCGCGAAAAAUCCCCGGAAAUACGGAAAUCCGGGGAAAUCCUCGAAUCCGACUCGGACUCCUCGUCUCCGGGGAAUUUCCCGGACGAUCGGCGCGACUCGUUCGCGCUCGACCAAAUCCUCGAUAUCGAGUUAUUCCCGAUUUACUCGCCGGAGGAAGCCGAGAAAAAGGAAACGAGGGGAGAGUUCCUCCACCCUCUCGCGACGGGCGCUCCUGAUUUCUGACACCUCCGGGAGCGAAAUGCAAAUACUUCGUUUGGCGAGCUGCGAAGUCGCGCCUUGAAGAAGAAAAAAAAAAGAGAGAGAGAAAAAAAAUUGAAAUCCCCCUGAAAGUUGAGAAUUUUCAAUAUUUCUUUUUUUCUUGCGGCGAGCACUUCCACGGUGUCUAUUUUUGAUAACACCCAUAUUGACUCGAUCACGCGAGGCGGGGGUGUGAGGGGAAAAAAAGGGUGCAGAGGGGCGAAGUCGCGUCCUCCGAAGAUUUCGGCUCGGUCUAUCGAAUGUAGGUUAUUGGGAUGCAGGGUGGAGGGGUGGUGGCGGGUCUGAAUAUCGCUGAUGGUGCCAUGUUGAAGCACCCUUCGCCGCUCCGGGCCGAGUUUCUCCGUCUAACCUCAACCCUCUUUUGCCUUUUGCCUUGAGCGGCCCUGGGGCUCCCUUCGACCCUACGACCGAUCGAUUCCCUAUCGAUGUUUUCCCGCGUCGAGACUUUAAACGCGGAUGCGAUCGAUCGGUUUGCCCACAGGUGGGACAGGUCGGAUCGAUCGGGUCGACAAAUGGUCCCGAAGGAACGAUCACAAGGAUCCCGGAACUUCUGAGACGAGCUCGGGGAAGGAAUCGUCGAUAAUCGCCGGCAAAGUCGGCCAACCGAGUCCUCCUGCCUCGUGGGGGGGGUUUAAUUUGCGACGAUUAAUGUUUACCUAGCCGACUAGCAUCCGACCAUCCAUCCGAGGAGUAUGGCUGGAUGCCGGGAGGUAACUCGGCGCUCCUCGACUCGGUACACACGGAGGGCAUCGGUGGGGCAUAAGGGGUGCAUCGGGGCGCACGUCGCCCGUCGAAGGAGGAAAGAGCGUUUUCAGGGACGAGAUUAAAUCCAGCCUUCUCGGGGGCGACUUUGAUUCCAGGAGUCGCCGAGUUAAACGGCUCCGGGGAAUAGGGGAAACCCUCUCGCGAGCACGUCUCGGUAGAUCCGAGCUCUCGCUCCGGGAUGUGAAAUGAAUAAAAAUGUAUUAAUAAGGGAUCGAUCGGUAUCAAGAUCGCGUACGAAAAUCCCUACUCCCCUGGGGCUUCCGUCAAACUCCAGGAACUACGGCGGGGGUAACGGCAACAAGCGAGGGGGCGACGUUUCCCCGAACAUUGGCCCGUGGGGGUGUCACCCCGCCGCCCCGAGGAUCGGGCCGGUACAAUGGAAAUUCCCGAGUUCCUCGAAGUUCGGGGGGAUCGGGAACCGGGAUCGGGAUUUCCCCGAGCGAUCCAUUGUCGGGAACGACCUCGGCCCGGAGUGAUCGAAACUCUCCGCCGAGCCUUCGGGCUUCCGGGGCGACCUCGACAAUGGGCCGGGGGCUCCGGGCUCGCUAAAACCCCGAGAAAUCGACCAGCCCCGAUCGCGAUCGUACCUUUUCCUCGGGGAGGGAUCUUAAAUCUUAAAUAUGAAAUUUUAACCAAGACCGGGUCUCGGGAACGAGGUCCUUACCUCCGAGUCCUUGGACGAGGAAAGAACCGGAGAUCGAAACGCAUGAAUUAUUUAUCUUAAUUAUAUCUAGCCCCCUCUUAAUGGGUGCUCCGGCGGCGGCUCCGUUUUGUAAUUCCGGGGGCGGGAUAACGAGCGGAGAUUCCCCGGGAAUUGGGUUUAUUUUACUAAGCCGCGUAAAGAGGAACGAGGUGGAGGGAGGACCGGCUUGAAAGCGGGAGGAGCGCAAAGGGUUGGCCCGACUUUUAAGGAGCUUCCUUCCCCGGAAUAUCGUCCGCGGAAGAGGGAGGAAAUUAUCGGGGCCCCUAGGCUUCCGGGGGAAUAACGCGAAACGGCGACAUUUUUCCCCCGUAAACGAGGGAAUCGACUCCUCUCAUAAUUCGAGCCCGCGGGGGGAGCGGGAUUCCCCCUUUUCCCCCGAAGAAGCGGCGAGCCAAGUGGAAUCGAAUCGCGCAACCCUAAAUUCGUUCUCGCCUCCGUUCCCGCCUCGAAUGUUUAUCGUCAUCCCCUCGAUCAUUUAUCGGGCUCUUGCUCGAUCGAUCGAUCGCUUGCCCGGAUGUGAGGGCGGAUUGGAUUAAAAAAUCCUAGAUGGGUUCGUUAAGCCUUCGAUAAUCCCGAUUAUACCCCUCGCUCGUUAUUCCCCCCCUUUUGCGCUGUCUAUAGUGACGAGGAAAAUACCCUCUGGGUAAAAAACGCCGUUCUAGCGGAGUCGAGCGCCGUUAAACGGCGUUAAACGGCGUUAAACGGCGUUAAACGGCGUUAAACGGCGUUAAACGGCGUUAAACGGCGUUUAACGCCGUUUAACGGAGUUUAACGGCGCGCCGGUAGGUGGUGGGGGCGGUCACGUGGGGCGUCGGGCAUC